AUAAGACCCUAUAAAGCUUUAUAAGAAGUUUAUAUUUAGUUAAAAUAAAUAAUAAAAUCUUAAUAUUUACUCUUAUUUUAUUGGGGAGAUAAAAUUAUAAUUUAAUAUAACUGAGUUUUAUUAAUACAAAAAUAAAUGUUUAUUAGUAGAUAAAAGAUCCCUUCUAGGGAUUUUAAGUUUAAGUUACUUUAGGGAUAACAGCGUUAUUUCUUUUGAGAGUUCAUAUCGAAAAAGAAGAUUGCGACCUCGAUGUUGAAUUAAAAUUUCUAGAUUAUUGUAGAAGUAAUCUUAGAAGGUCUGUUCGACCUUUAAAUUUUUACAUGAUUUGAGUUCAGACC
rnacentral:rRNA from 1 species